UAGAUAUCUUUAUUAAUUGAAAUUAUUUUAAAGUUUAUUCCUACUUUAUUUGUAUACCAAAUGAGAAAAAUACGUUAACAUACAUUCCAGGUUACUCUAUCAUAUCCAUCAAAUGGGUUUUCCGGUAAUACUGAUAACAACGGCAUCGUUUACAACGACCUUGUUGCGCCAAUCUACACAUCAAAGAUACGGUUUUAUCCUCAGACGUGGAAUAAUGGUAUUAGUAUGUCGGUAAAGCUGUAUGGAUACAACAAUUAUGGUACUGUAUCGGUUCCACCAACAACCUGUAGCAGCACAACAACAGCUGGACCUGGUGGCCCUGGAACAAUAUUUUUGGCCCAGUCAGGUGCUGGUGUAGGGACUGUAGUUAUUGAUGCCAGAGGAAAAGACCCUAAAGUGAAGAAGAUUAAAAACUGUGAUCAAUUUGAUG